GCAAUGGUGCAAGCAUCUAUAUAAAGAUCGAAAAUCUUUCUGUAUGAAGAGUACUGGGAUAUUUCAAUAUAUAAGUUUGAGAGAAAAUGAGAGUUUCUUUCUUUUCUUUCAUGGCUUUUUUUAGAGUUUUGGCCUUCUUUGCUCUAAUCUUUUCUUAUGUUGAGAAUCCGAUUCCUGAUACAGGGAAACAAUGUGAAAGUUUAAGCAAAACUUGGCAUGGGAGAUGUUGGUCCACUAAAUUAUGUAAUAAGCAUUGCAUUAUUGAGGAGCAGGCAGAACGUGGAGGAUGUUAUGAGUUUUGGCGUAGAAAGUGCUAUUGCUUUUACAAAUGCCCCUGAGAGAGAUCACUGCAACAAAACAUCCUUAUUCAAGAAUUUAAAUUUUUAUUUUUACAAAGAAUUUAGGGCUCGUCUGAUAAUAUUUAUAUAUAUAUAUAUAUAUAUAUAUAUAUAUAUAUAUAUAUAUAUAUAUAUAGUCUUGAGUAUUUUGUGGGUGUUUCUUGUGUUUGAAUUGUUUGCUAUAAAUGCUUUUGCAUUUUUGCUAAAAAUCAGUCCUAAUAAGCAUUAGCAAACGAACCCUGCAAUCAUCUUGAUUGCUCAUGCUGAUGCGGACUGUCAUACAAUUUGGAAAACGUAGCUAGGAAAAUUAGCUGCUGAAUUUGUUUUUCUUUUUCUUUUCUACAAGUAAUAAUCCAAUGGUGAUCCAUAACGAAUUUAGGCUCUACAUAAGCCUAAUAAGAUGGCCUUAGCCGCUAGUUGAUAUAUUUUGAUCUGUUUAUCAAUAAGAAAUACUUAGGUUGAGUUUUUUUUUUUUUUUCUUUUUUUUUUAAAAAAAAAGUAAUAUUUUUCUUUUUUUGCCUAAAUUCCUUGACCGUUGUUCACAAGCCUCAAAUUCAUCUAUAGAAUACAUCUUGUGUGAAGGAGGAAGAUGAGUUUGUUCAUGAAGGGUUCCAAGAAAACGAGUUCGUUGAUGAGGAGUUCCAACAAGAAGAAGAUGAAAAACAUUCUCAAGGAUUCAUAGAUUGAAAUAGUACAUCAACUUAUAAACCGAUUGAUAUUGAUGAUGAAAAUCUUGUGGUAAGUUAUUUGUCAUAUGGUACAUAGGACGAAUUUGUAGUAUAUUAGGUCUUUCCACCAACCUAUAACAUUUAUCCUGAUUGCCAAAGAUUAUAAGGGAGAUGUGGUAACUUCUUGUGUAGCAAAAAGCAUGUAAUUGACCCAACAAUAGCUAAGGCGUAGGCUGUAUGGAGGCUAUAGAAUUUUAUAAAGACUUGGAGUUUCAAUGCGUUAUGAUUGAAGGAGACGCAUUGGAGAUUGCA